GCAGUGCGGCGCGGCAAACGCCCCGCCCCCGGCGCGCCUUCCGGAGCAAGGGGCGGGACAGAGGAAGGUGGUCUGGAUCGUUGGCUGACCAAGUGAUCAAAAUCAAAACAAAUCAGCAUCAAGAAGUACCAUGUGCGGUGAAUUCUCACGCGCGAGUGGCUUUGCAGUUCUACUCCAUCCCGACUCUGCCUUAGCCAAGAAAAUGUGGUGGUUGCCCGCCUAAAUCAUGAUGAGAAGAAGCCUGGACUCGUUGGCUGGAGGAGGAGACCAGGUGGAGAGAGCACCUUGCAAAGCCACCUAACUGACCCAGAGAACAGACAUAGAGCCAAGCUGGUUGAGGUACACAAAACUGUCCUGUUGAUCCACAGAUACAUGAGAAAGAAUGAAGGAAUCUUCUAUUAAGCCACUCUUUGACAUGAAUAGGUUGAAGUUGAACUCUUUGAACACCUGUAUAAGGACAAUUCCAACGGAGACAGUGGUGAACCCACAGGCCAUGCCCAAGAAGUCCACCAGACCCACGUUGCUCCACUCCCGGAAG